AGCGUACACGGUGGAUGCCCUGGCAGUCAGAGGCGAUGAAGGACGUGCUAAUCUGCGAUAAGCGUCGGUAAGGUGAUAUGAACCGUUAUAACCGGCGAUUUCCGAAUGGGGAAACCCAGUGUGUUUCGACACACUAUCAUUAACUGAAUCCAUAGGUUAAUGAGGCGAACCGGGGGAACUGAAACAUCUAAGUACCCCGAGGAAAAGAAAUCAACCGAGAUUCCCCCAGUAGCGGCGAGCGAACGGGGAGGAGCCCAGAGCCUGAAUCAGUGUGUGUGUUAGUGGAAGCGUCUGGAAAGGCGCGCGAUACAGGGUGACAGCCCCGUACACAAAAAUGCACAUGCUGUGAGCUCGAUGAGUAGGGCGGGACACGUGGUAUCCUGUCUGAAUAUGGGGGGACCAUCCUCCAAGGCUAAAUACUCCUGACUGACCGAUAGUGAACCAGUACCGUGAGGGAAAGGCGAAAAGAACCCCGGCGAGGGGAGUGAAAAAGAACCUGAAACCGUGUACGUACAAGCAGUGGGAGCCUCUUUUAUGGGGUGACUGCGUACCUUUUGUAUAAUGGGUCAGCGACUUAUAUUCUGUAGCAAGGUUAACCGAAUAGGGGAGCCGAAGGGAAACCGAGUCUUAACUGGGCGUUAAGUUGCAGGGUAUAGACCCGAAACCCGGUGAUCUAGCCAUGGGCAGGUUGAAGGUUGGGUAACACUAACUGGAGGACCGAACCGACUAAUGUUGAAAAAUUAGCGGAUGACUUGUGGCUGGGGGUGAAAGGCCAAUCAAACCGGGAGAUAGCUGGUUCUCCCCGAAAGCUAUUUAGGUAGCGCCUCGUGAAUUCAUCUCCGGGGGUAGAGCACUGUUUCGGCAAGGGGGUCAUCCCGACUUACCAACCCGAUGCAAACUGCGAAUACCGGAGAAUGUUAUCACGGGAGACACACGGCGGGUGCUAACGUCCGUCGUGAAGAGGGAAACAACCCAGACCGCCAGCUAAGGUCCCAAAGUCAUGGUUAAGUGGGAAACGAUGUGGGAAGGCCCAGACAGCCAGGAUGUUGGCUUAGAAGCAGCCAUCAUUUAAAGAAAGCGUAAUAGCUCACUGGUCGAGUCGGCCUGCGCGGAAGAUGUAACGGGGCUAAACCAUGCACCGAAGCUGCGGCAGCGACACUAUGUGUUGUUGGGUAGGGGAGCGUUCUGUAAGCCUGCGAAGGUGUGCUGUGAGGCAUGCUGGAGGUAUCAGAAGUGCGAAUGCUGACAUAAGUAACGAUAAAGCGGGUGAAAAGCCCGCUCGCCGGAAGACCAAGGGUUCCUGUCCAACGUUAAUCGGGGCAGGGUGAGUCGACCCCUAAGGCGAGGCCGAAAGGCGUAGUCGAUGGGAAACAGGUUAAUAUUCCUGUACUUGGUGUUACUGCGAAGGGGGGACGGAGAAGGCUAUGUUGGCCGGGCGACGGUUGUCCCGGUUUAAGCGUGUAGGCUGGUUUUCCAGGCAAAUCCGGAAAAUCAAGGCUGAGGCGUGAUGACGAGGCACUACGGUGCUGAAGCAACAAAUGCCCUGCUUCCAGGAAAAGCCUCUAAGCAUCAGGUAACAUCAAAUCGUACCCCAAACCGACACAGGUGGUCAGGUAGAGAAUACCAAGGCGCUUGAGAGAACUCGGGUGAAGGAACUAGGCAAAAUGGUGCCGUAACUUCGGGAGAAGGCACGCUGAUAUGUAGGUGAAGUCCCUCGCGGAUGGAGCUGAAAUCAGUCGAAGAUACCAGCUGGCUGCAACUGUUUAUUAAAAACACAGCACUGUGCAAACACGAAAGUGGACGUAUACGGUGUGACGCCUGCCCGGUGCCGGAAGGUUAAUUGAUGGGGUCAGCGCAAGCGAAGCUCUUGAUCGAAGCCCCGGUAAACGGCGGCCGUAACUAUAACGGUCCUAAGGUAGCGAAAUUCCUUGUCGGGUAAGUUCCGACCUGCACGAAUGGCGUAAUGAUGGCCAGGCUGUCUCCACCCGAGACUCAGUGAAAUUGAACUCGCUGUGAAGAUGCAGUGUACCCGCGGCAAGACGGAAAGACCCCGUGAACCUUUACUAUAGCUUGACACUGAACAUUGAGCCUUGAUGUGUAGGAUAGGUGGGAGGCUUUGAAGUGUGGACGCCAGUCUGCAUGGAGCCGACCUUGAAAUACCACCCUUUAAUGUUUGAUGUUCUAACGUGGACCCGUGAUCCGGGUUGCGGACAGUGUCUGGUGGGUAGUUUGACUGGGGCGGUCUCCUCCUAAAGAGUAACGGAGGAGCACGAAGGUUGGCUAAUCCUGGUCGGACAUCAGGAGGUUAGUGCAAUGGCAUAAGCCAGCUUGACUGCGAGCGUGACGGCGCGAGCAGGUGCGAAAGCAGGUCAUAGUGAUCCGGUGGUUCUGAAUGGAAGGGCCAUCGCUCAACGGAUAAAAGGUACUCCGGGGAUAACAGGCUGAUACCGCCCAAGAGUUCAUAUCGACGGCGGUGUUUGGCACCUCGAUGUCGGCUCAUCACAUCCUGGGGCUGAAGUAGGUCCCAAGGGUAUGGCUGUUCGCCAUUUAAAGUGGUACGCGAGCUGGGUUUAGAACGUCGUGAGACAGUUCGGUCCCUAUCUGCCGUGGGCGCUGGAGAAUUGAGGGGGGCUGCUCCUAGUACGAGAGGACCGGAGUGGACGCAUCACUGGUGUUCGGGUUGUCAUGCCAAUGGCACUGCCCGGUAGCUAAAUGCGGAAGAGAUAAGUGCUGAAAGCAUCUAAGCACGAAACUUGCCCCGAGAUGAGUUCU
rnacentral:rRNA from 1 species